ACAAAGUCUCGCCCUGUUGCCCAGGCUGGAGUGCAGUGCUGCAAUCUGGGCUCCCUGCAACCUCUGCCUCCUGGGUUCAAGCAAUUCUCAUGCCUCAGCCUCCAGAGUAGCUGGGAUUACAGACACCUGCCACCACGCUCAGGCUGGAGUGCAGCGGCACAAUCAGCUCACUGCAGCCUCAAUUCACCCAGACUCAAGCGAUCCUCCUGCCUCAGCCUUCUGAGUAGCUGGGACUACAGAGACAGGAUCUUGCUCUGCCACCCAGGAUGGAGUACAGUGGUGUGGUCACAGCUCACUGCACCUUGAAUUCCCAGGCUCAAGCGAUCCUCCCACUUCAGCCUCCUGAGUAGCUGGGACCACAGCCACAUGCCACCAUGCCCUAGCCAUUUAGUUUUUAAACAUUUUUUUUUUAGAGAAAGGGUCUCACUAUGUUGCCCAGGCUGGUUUUGAACUCCCGGCUUCAAGUGACCCUCCUGCCUUGGCCUCCCAAAGUGCUGGGGUUACAGAUUUGUGCCACUGCAUCACCUGUAGGCUGACCCUGAAUUUGUGGUAAGUCUGGGACAGUCAUCUUGUGCAAUGUUACACAGGUUGAAGUUGCCUAUAUUUGUGUAGUUGAUCUCUUGAUGCCUUUUUAAACUUUUUCUCUAUCCCUUCUACUUCCAGGGACCUGGAAGCUACAUUUGCCACCUUGAAUAGACUCAGAUUAAACAUUUUGGACACUAAAGAGUUCAUGGAUGAUAGGGUGUACUUUUUGCAUCACAUUAGGAGGCACAUUGGGUGAGGCUGUUCCGCUAUCUGUGAGGCUAAUUUUGAUUGCCUUAUUAAAGUGGUGACUGCCAGAUCUCUCCAUCAUGAAGGCACAUUUUCUCUUUGCAAUUCACAAUGAAUCUGUGCAUAAUUCUUUAGUGCCAUGAAAAUAUUCUGUUUACCAUAACCUUUCACUUGAUGGUUUUAGUAUCUGUUGACAAUUCUUGACUAAAUAAAUUAUUACAUUUAGGUUUGUAAAUAGGUGAUAUUACAAAAAUGACUUUAAUAUUAGAGAAUACAUAAGUCGAGACCCUGACAAGAACUAGGUAUCUCACCAUGCUUUGUCCUAAAUACAAAGAAUUUUUUUUACCAGAGAACUGCA